GUUACAGCAGCCGCGGUAAGACGAAGGUGGCAACCGUUGUUCGGAAUCACUGGGCAUAAAGAGCACGUAGGCGGCUGGGUAAGUCGGGUGUGAAAUACCUCGGCCCAACCGAGGAAUUGCGCCCGAAACUGCUCGGCUUGAGGACAGGAGGGGAGCGUGGAAUUCCUGGUGGAGCGGUGAAAUGCGUUGAUAUCAGGAGGAACACCGGCGGCGAAGGCGACGCUCUGGCCUGUUUCUGACGCUGAGGUGCGAAAGCCAGGGGAGCAAACGGGAUUAGAAACCCUCGUAGUCC
rnacentral:rRNA from 1 species